rnacentral:rRNA from 1 species
UUGCUGGGGUGGAUGAGUGGCGAACGGGUGAGUAAUACGUGAGUAACCUGCCCUUGACUCUGGGAUAAGCCUGGGAAACCGGGUCUAAUACUGGAUACGACGUCCUACCGCAUGGUGGGGCGUGGAAAGGGUUUUACUGGUUUUGGAUGGGCUCACGGCCUAUCAGCUUGUUGGUGGGGUAAUGGCCUACCAAGGCGACGACGGGUAGCCGGCCUGAGAGGGUGACCGGCCACACUGGGACUGAGACACGGCCCAGACUCCUACGGGAGGCAGCAGUGGGGAAUAUUGCACAAUGGGCGGAAGCCUGAUGCAGCGACGCCGCGUGAGGGAUGACGGCCUUCGGGUUGUAAACCUCUUUCAGCAGGGAAGAAGCCACAAGUGACGGUACCUGCAGAAGAAGCGCCGGCUAACUACGUGCCAGCAGCCGCGGUAAUACGUAGGGCGCAAGCGUUGUCCGGAAUUAUUGGGCGUAAAGAGCUCGUAGGCGGUUUGUCGCGUCUGCUGUGAAAGCCCGGGGCUCAACCCCGGGUCUGCAGUGGGUACGGGCAGACUAGAGUGCAGUAGGGGAGACUGGAAUUCCUGGUGUAGCGGUGAAAUGCGCAGAUAUCAGGAGGAACACCGAUGGCGAAGGCAGGUCUCUGGGCUGUUACUGACGCUGAGGAGCGAAAGCAUGGGGAGCGAACAGGAUUAGAUACCCUGGUAGUCCAUGCCGUAAACGUUGGGCACUAGGUGUGGGGGACAUUCCACGUUCUCCGCGCCGUAGCUAACGCAUUAAGUGCCCCGCCUGGGGAGUACGGCCGCAAGGCUAAAACUCAAAGGAAUUGACGGGGGCCCGCACAAGCGGCGGAGCAUGCGGAUUAAUUCGAUGCAACGCGAAGAACCUUACCAAGGCUUGACAUCCA